UGGGUACUGCGGAGACAUUACUGAUUUGCUUAAUUGCACCACAUGUGUUUUUUAUUGAACAAAUUUCUUUGGUGGCGGGAGCAAUCCUACCGCCCGAGGUUAUAACUAAACCAAACUUUUUAUUUACAGUCAAACUUGAUUUAUUAUUACAAUAGUCAAAACUUUCAACAACGGAUCUCUUGGUUCUCGCAUCGAUGAAGAACGCAGCGAAAUGCGAUACGUAAUAUGAAUUGCAGAUAUUCGUGAAUCAUCGAAUCUUUGAACGCACAUUGCGCCCUUUGGUAUUCCAAAGGGCAUGCCUGUUUGAGCGUCAUUUCUCCCUCAAACCCCCGGGUUUGGUGUUGAGCAAUACGCUAGGUUUGUUUGAAAGAAUUUAACGUGGAAACUUAUUUUAAGCGACUUAGGUUUAUCCAAAAACGCUUAUUUUGCUAGUGGCCACCACAAUUUAUUUCAUAACUUUGACCUCAAAUCAGGUAGGACUACCCGCUGAACUUAAGCAUAUCAAAAGCCGGGAGGAAAACGGAGGAA
rnacentral:rRNA from 1 species